GAUGAAGAACGCAGCGAAACGCGAUAAGUAAUGUGAAUUGCAGAAUCCAGUGAAUCAUCGAAUCUUUGAACGCACAUUGCGCCCGCCAGCAUUCUGGCGGGCAUGCCUGUUCGAGCGUCAUUUCAACCCUCGACCUCCCCUUGGGGAGGUCGGCGUUGGGGACCGGCAGCACACCGCCGGCCCUGAAAUAGAGUGGCGGCCCGUCCGCGGCGACCUCUGCGCAGUAAUACAGCUCGCACCGGGACCCCGACGCGGCCACGCCGUAAAACACCCAACUUCUGAACGUUGACCUCGAAUCAGGUAGGACUACCCGCUGAACUUAAGCAUAUCAAUAAGCGGAGGA
rnacentral:misc_RNA from 1 species